GGAGGGAUAGCAUAAUGGUUAUGCAAAAUGUUUUCACGCUUGAGGUCCCAGGUUCAAUCCCUGGCACCACCA
rnacentral:tRNA from 1 species